UGAUGGAUUCUAUGAAUCUAGAAGGGAGUGGAUAGGUCGCAGACACUUUAUUUUAGCUUAUGAAGGUUCAGCUGCUGGGGUCUUUAAAAUAAUUCGCCCUGCGAUUGGAGAAGCAGUAAGAGAGAUGCCUUUAGCUGAGCUGAAGAAUAAGUAUCGAAAGGUGUCCUCAAUCAAGAAAGCCAGCAAAGGUUGGCAAGAUGAGUAUGAGGUCUCUUCUAAGCAG